GGUUAUGGUACCAACAGUAAAGGAAUAAGGGGCCAAAAGGGGCCAAAAAUAAGCAUUUUUGUAACUUCCAGACAUAACUUGUGUGUUAGUGUAUGGAUCUCUCUGACAUUGUACCACAAGGUUCCAUAUCACAAAAGGAAUGCUGGGAUUGAUUUUGGGGGUAAUUGCCUCAAAAUUUUAGGAAUUAGGGGCCAAAAAAGGGGCAAAAAACAAGCAUUUUUCUAGUUUCAUGACAAUAACUUGUGUGUAAUUGUAUGGAUCUUUCUGAAAUUGUACUACAAGUUUCCAUAUCACAAAGGGAAAGCUGGGAUUGAGUUUGGGGGUAAUUGCCCUAAAUGUUCAGGAAUUUGGGGCCAAAAGGGGGCCAAAAAACAAGCAUUUUUCUAGUUUUCAGACAAUAACUUGUGUUCAAGUGUAUGGAUCUCUCUGAAAUUGUACUGCAAGGUACCAUACCUCUAAGGGAAGGCUGGGAUUGAGUUUGGGGGUGAUGAAUCAUAAGGGGGUUCAAAAAAUUUGGGGGGGGGGGAUUUUUUUUUCCUUUUUUUUUUUUUUUUUUUUUUAAA